AAACUAAACAUUCAUUUGUACUAUGAUUCGUUUUUGAUCAUAUACAUUGCAUUCAUCUUGUUCAUUUUCGAAUUCCUUACAUGUCAUUUCAUCAUUUCUUUCUUACAUCACAUUUACCUCAAAAUACACAUUACAUUCUUUUCUUUACAUUACUAGUCAUCAAAUACAAAAGAUGAACAUAGGGUAGCCACUAUCAAAAUGUAAACCCAACUCAACCCUGGUGGCCUCUGUCUAAGGCGCGAUACCUUUACCUCGGUCACUCGCCGGCUCGCUCGGUCCCGGCUCUGUGGAAAUAGUGGGGUGAGAACUACAACAAAGUUCCCAGUGGGUUCGGCCUCAACAUCACCGACUUUCCCACUAUGACUAACUCAGGCAUAAUAGAAAGAAUAAGCUGCAUAUAGUAACCAAUCUAU
rnacentral:lncRNA from 1 species